UACGUAGGCAGCGAGCGUUGUUCGGAGUUACUGGGCGUAAAGGGUGUGUAGGCGGUUGUUUAAGUUUGGUGUGAAAUCUCCCGGCUCAACUGGGAGGGUGCGCCGAAUACUGAAUGACUAGAGUGCGGGAGAGGAGAGUGGAAUUCCUGGUGUAGCGGUGAAAUGCGUAGAUAUCAGGAGGAACACCGGUGGUGUAGACGGCUCUCUGGACCGUAACUGACGCUGAGGCACGAAAGCGUGGGUAGCAAACAGG
rnacentral:rRNA from 1 species